rnacentral:rRNA from 1 species
AAAACAUGUCUUAUUGAUUAUAAUUUUAAGUCUAAUCUGCCCAAUGAUAUUUUAUUUAAUGGCUGCAGUAUUUAUAACUGUACAAAGGUAGCAUAAUAAUUAGUUUUUUAAUUGAAAACUAGAAUGAAAGAUUAAAUGAAAUAUAUUCUAUAUAAAUAAAAUUAAAAAUUAAAAUUAAAAUUUAAGUAAAAAUUCUUAAAUUAUUUUAAAAGACGAGAAGACCCUAUAGAAUUUUAUUUUUUAUUGUUUUAAAAUUUAAUAAUAAAUUUAAAUAAAUAUUAAAAAAUUUGAUUGGGGUAAUUUUAAAAUUAAAUUAAUUUUUAUUUUAAAAACAUAAAUUAAUGAAUUUUUAAUCUUAAAAUUUAGAUUAAAAAAAUAAAUUACCUUAGG